UACAUAGCUUAAUGAGGGGAACUCAGGGAACUGAAACAUCUAAGUACCUGAAGGAAGAGAAAGAAAUUCGAUUCCGUAAGUAGCGGCGAGCGAACGCGGAUUAGCCCAAACCAAUAAAGUUUUCUUUAUUGGGGUUGCGGACAUAUCAUAACGAAGAGGUAUCGUAAUUGAAGAGGUUUGGAAAGACCCACCACAGAAGGUAAUAGUCCUGUAUGUUAAACGAGAAGACUUUAGAUAUGAUCCAGAGUACCACGGGACACGUGAAACCCUGUGGGAAGCAGGAGGGACCACCCUCCAAGGCUAAAUACUACCUAGUGACCGAUAGCGUAUAGUACCGUGAGGGAAAGGUGAAAAGAACCCCGGGAGGGGAGUGAAAUAGAACCUGAAACCCUGCACUUACAAGCUGUGGAAGCACAUUUCUUGUGUGACCGCGUACUUUUUGUAGAACGGGCCAACGAGUUACGUUAAGUAGCAAGGUUAAGCACUUAAGGUGCGGAGCCGUAGCGAAAGCGAGUUUUAACUGAGCGUUCAGUUACUUGACGUAGACCCGAAACCGGGCGACCUACCCAUGAGCAGGAUGAAGCGAAAGUAAAAUUUCGUGGAGGUCCGAACCCACGAGCGUUGAAAAGCUCGGGGAUGACUUGUGGGUAGCGGUGAAAUUCCAAUCGAGCCCGGAGAUAGCUGGUUC
rnacentral:rRNA from 1 species